UGCCCUAGUAACGGCGAGUGAAGCGGCAACAGCUCAAAUUUGAAAUCUGGUCCCUUGGGGCCCGAGUUGUAAUUUGCAGAGGAUGCUUUUGGCGAGGCGCCUUCCGAGUGCCCUGGAACGGGACGCCAUAGAGGGUGAGAGCCCCGUAUGGUUGGACGCCGAGCCUAUGUAAAGCUCCUUCGACGAGUCGAGUAGUUUGGGAAUGCUGCUCAAAAUGGGAGGUAAACCCCUUCUAAAGCUAAAUACUGGCCAGAGACCGAUAGCGCACAAGUAGAGUGAUCGAAAGAUGAAAAGCACUUUGAAAAGAGAGUUAAAAAGCACGUGAAAUUGUUGAAAGGGAAGCGUUUGCGACCAGACUUGCGCCCGUCGAAUCAGCCGUCCCUCGUGGGCGGUGCACUUCGGCGGGCUCAGGCCAGCAUCAGUUCGCUGUCGGGGAGAAAGGCGCUGGGAAUGUGGCUCUUCGGAGUGUUAUAGCCCGGCGUGUAAUACCCGUCGGCGGACUGAGGACCGCGCUUCGGCAAGGAUGCUGGCGUAAUGGUUGUCAGCGACCCGUCUUGAAACACGGACCAAGGAGUCGUCCUAAUAUGCGAGUGUUUGGGUGUCAAACCCCAGCGCGUAAUGAAAGUGAACGGAGGUGAGAGCUUCGGCGCAUCAUCGACCGAUCCUGAUGUUC
rnacentral:rRNA from 1 species